rnacentral:rRNA from 1 species
AGCGGGAGGCUUAACACAUGCAAGCCGAGGGGUAUAUAAUUGCUUGCAAUUAUAGAGACCGGCGGAUGGGUGAGUAACGCGUAUGAAACCUGCCCUAUUCAUCAGGAUAGCCCUAGGAAACUGGGAUUAAUACUGAAUAACACUAAUAUCGGCAUCGAUGUUGGUUAAAAGAUUUAUCGGAAUAGGAUGGUCAUGCGUCAGAUUAGUUAGUUGGUAGGGUAACGGCCUACCAAGGCAAUGAUCUGUAGGGAGCCUGAGAGGGUGAUCCCCCACACUGGUACUGAGACACGGACCAGACUCCUACGGGAGGCAGCAGUGAGGAAUAUUGGACAAUGGGUGAGAGCCUGAUCCAGCCAUCCCGCGUGCAGGAAGAAUGCCUUAUGGGUUGUAAACUGCUUUUAUACAGGAAUAAACCACUUUACGUGUAAGGUGUUGAAGGUACUGUAUGAAUAAGCAUCGGCUAACUCCGU